GAUGAACGCUAGCGGCAGGCCUAAUACAUGCAAGUCGAGGGUAUAGCGGUGCUUGCACUGCUAGAGACCGGCGCACGGGUGCGUAACGCGUAUGCAACCUACCUUUAUCAGGGGGAUAGCCCGAAGAAAUUCGGAUUAAUACCGCAUAAGACCACACUAUGGCAUCAUAGAGAGGUCAAACAUUUAUGGGAUAGAGAUGGGCAUGCGUGCCAUUAGUUAGUUGGUGAGGUAAUGGCUCACCAAGACGAUGAUGGCUAGGGGAUCUGAGAGGAUGGCCCCCCANACUGGUACUGAGACACGGACCAGACUCCUACGGGAGCAGCAGUAAGGAUAUUGGUCAAUGGACGCAAGUCUGAACCAGCCAUGCCGCGUGCAGGACGACGGCCCUCUGGGUUGUAAACCUGCUUUUAUACGGGAAUAAACCUACCCUUGCGAGGGUAGCUGAAUGUACCGUAAGAAUAAGGAUCGGCUAACU
rnacentral:rRNA from 1 species